rnacentral:rRNA from 1 species
UUCCCCUAGUAACUGCGAGUGAAGCGGGAAAAGCUCAAAUUUAAAAUCUGGCAGUCUUUGGCUGUCCGAGUUGUAAUCUAGAGAAGCGUUAUCCGCGUUGGACCGUGUACAAGUCUCCUGGAAUGGAGCGUCAUAGAGGGUGAGAAUCCCGUCUUUGACACGGACUACCAAGGCUUUGUGAUGCGCUCUCAAAGAGUCGAGUUGUUUGGGAAUGCAGCUCAAAAUGGGUGGUAAAUUCCAUCUAAAGCUAAAUAUUGGCGAGAGACCGAUAGCGAACAAGUACCGUGAGGGAAAGAUGAAAAGAACUUUGGAAAGAGAGUUAAACAGUACGUGAAAUUGCUGAAAGGGAAACGCUUGAAGUCAGUCGCGUUGUCCAGGGAUCAACCUUGCUUUUGCUUGGUGCACUUUCUGGUUGACGGGUCAGCAUCAAUUUUGACUAUUGGAAAAAGAUUAGGGGAAUGUGGCAUCUUUGGAUGUGUUAUAGCCCUUAGUUGCAUACAAUGGUUGGGAUUGAGGAACUCAGCACGCCGCAAGGCCGGGUUUUUAACCACGUACGUGCUUAGGAUGCUGGCAUAAUGGCUUUAAUCGACCCGUCUUGAAACACGGACCAAGGAGUCUAACAUGCCUGCGAGUGUUUGGGUGGAAAACCCGAGCGCGUAAUGAAAGUGAAAGUUGAGAUCCCUGUCGUGGGGAGCAUCGACGCCCGGACCAGACCUUUUGUGACGGUUCCGCGGUAGAGCAUGUAUGUUGGGACCCGAAAGAUGGUGAACUAUGCCUGAAUAGGGUGAAGCCAGAGGAAACUCUGGUGGAGGCUCGUAGCGAUUCUGACGUGCAAAUCGAUCGUCAAAUUUGGGUAUAGGGGCGAAAGACUAAUCG